UCGGGAAUAUUGCGCAAUGGAGGAAACUCUGACGCAGUGACGCCGCGUAUGGGAAGAAGGUUUUCGGAUUGUAAACCAUUUUAGACAAGGAAGAAAAAAGACAGUACUUGUAGAAUAAGCUCCGGCUAACUACGUGCCAGCAGCCGCGGUAAUACGUAGGGAGCAAGCGUUAUCCGGAUUUAUUGGGUGUAAAGGGUGCGUAGACGGGAAGGUAAGUUAGUUGUGAAAUCCCUCGGCUCAACUGAGGAACUGCGACUAAACUACUUUUCUUGAGUACUGGAGAGGAAAGUGGAAUUCCUAGUGUAGCGGUGAAAUGCGUAGAUAUUAGGAGGAACACCAGUGGCGAAGGCGACUUUCUGGACAGUAACUGACGUUGAGGCACGAAAGUGUGGGGAGCAAACAGGAUUAGAUACC
rnacentral:rRNA from 1 species